AAGCACUGCCUUUGAACCUGAUAUGUCUUGUUUGUAGCUUCACGGGCCAAGCCACAAUGCUAGAGCAUAAGGACUUGUUAUAACUGGGGCUCUUCAGCUCUCAUCUGAACUGCUCUUUUAAAAACAAGGUACAUUU
rnacentral:snoRNA from 1 species